UGGGGAAUUUUGGACAAUGGGGGCAACCCUGAUCCAGCCAUGCCGCGUGCGGGAAGAAGGCCUUCGGGUUGUAAACCGCUUUUAGCCGGGACGAAAGCUGUACGGAUAACACCCGUGCAGGUUGACGGUACCGGCGGAAUAAGCACCGGCUAACUCUGUG
rnacentral:rRNA from 1 species